AUGGAUAACACCACCUGCCCUAUAAUGUGUUGGAACGUAAGAGGUCUAAACACCCCGGCUCGUCGCUCUGUAGUCUGUGACACCGCGAGCACACAUAGACUAGACAUUCUAUGCCUCCAGGAGACAAAGAUUGAAUCCUGGUCGCCUGGGAUAGCCAGGGAAAUCGGAGGGGGCAGGUUAGAUGAUUGCACUGUGCUGCCGGCCAUAGGAACGCGAGGAGGAAUUGCCAUCUUUUGGAACUCUGGCACCGUCUCCGUCCAAACUCACGCGAUAGGCCAAUUCUCCAUCACGGCAAGAGUUAGUCUAAUUGGAUACCAAAGCUCCUUCUGGCUGACAACGGUCUACGGGCCAGCAGACAAGGUGCGCAAGGACGAGUUCCUUGCCGAGAUCGCCAGGGCGGCCCCUCAGCCAGGAGAGGCUUGGCUAAUCAACGGUGAUUUCAAACAUUAUAUAUGA
rnacentral:rRNA from 1 species